GAGGGUACAGCUCAGUGGUAGAGCACAUGCUUAACAUGCACAAGGUCCUGGGUUCAAUCCCCAGUACCUCCA
rnacentral:tRNA from 1 species